CCGGGGAGCCGGGCAGCCGCGUCAGGGGCAACCCUGCCGAGGAAAGUCCGGGCUCCACGAAACAAGGGUGGCGGGUAACGCCCGCCGGCCCCGGCGCAGGCCGGGGUCAGGGACAGUGCCACAGAGAGCAGACCGCCAAACCCGGCUCCGGCCGGGCGGCAAGGGUGAAAGGGUGCGGCAAGAGCGCACCGCGCGACCGGCAACGGAAGCGGCAAGGCAAACCCCACCCGGAGCAAGACCGAAUAGGGGCGGCGUGCUGGCAACAGCGGGUCUGUUUCGGACCUGAUCGCCCGGGUUGGUCGCUGGAGCGCCGCAGCAAUGCGUCGCCGAGAGGAAUGGCUGCCCCGGCCGAUACGGUCUCUCUUCAGGGAUACCGUCGGUCGGACAGAACCCGGCUUACAGGCUCCCCGGUGCA
rnacentral:RNase_P_RNA from 1 species